GAUGAACGCUGGCGGCGUGCCUAACACAUGCAAGUCGAGCGGUAGAUACUGGAAUGAGAUUUCGGUCAAGUGAAAGUAUUGAGAGCGGCGGACGGGUGAGUAACGCGUAGGCAACCUGCCCCAUACAGAGGGAUAGCCUCGGGAAACCGGGAUUAAAACCUCAUAACGCCAAGAGUUCACAUGGACAUUUGGCCAAAGAUUUAUCGGUAUGGGAUGGGCCUGCGUCUGAUUAGCUAGUUGGUGGGGUAACGGCCUACCAAGGCAACGAUCAGUAGCCGACCUGAGAGGGUAAUCGGCCACAUUGGAACUGAGACACGGUCCAAACUCCUACGGGAGGCAGCAGUGGGGAAUAUUGCACAAUGGGCGAAAGCCUGAUGCAGCAACGCCGCGUGAGCGAUGAAGGCCUUUGGGUCGUAAAGCUCUGUCCUUGGGGAAGAAAAAAAUGACGGUACCCUUGGAGGAAGCCCCGGCUAACCACGUGCCAGCCGCCGCGGUAAUAC
rnacentral:rRNA from 1 species